CUUUUUAUUCUUUUCUUUAUUUAAAGCAUUAUUUGAGUGAAAAGAAACUUAUUGCAACAAAUUCGCAUUAAAAUAUAUCACAUUUAUAAAGUUUGCUGCAUUGCUCAAAAAUGAGGACAAUUUUACAUUUUCUCAAACAGGGUAUGAAACUUGGUUCCUCGAAUAACUUCUGACACAGACAUCUAAGGGAAUGGCUGUCCAAGAAGAAAAUGUAGCCAUUGGUGCCAUCUAUCGACCACAAGUUAAAGAUUGGAGAUCCGUUGGAUACCGACCGAGUUAUAGGCAAAACUUGGGGCUAAAAAGAGGAAAAAUAUACAUUUUCACAAACAGGAUAUGGAACUUGGUUCCUCGAAUAACUUCUGGCACAAACAUCUGAGAGCAUGGCCGUCCAAGAAGAAAAAGUAGCCAUUGAUGCCAUCUAUCGACCACAGGUUAAAGAUUGGCGAUCCGUUGGAUACCGACCGAGUUAUAGGCAAAACUUGGCGCAAAAAUGAGGAAAAUUUUACAUUUUCUCAACAGGGUAUGGAACUUGUUUCCUCGAAUAACUUCUGGCACAGACAUCUGAGGGCAUGGCCGUCCAAGAAGAAAAUGUAGCCAUUGAUGCCAUCUAUCGACCACAGGUUAAAGAUUGGCGAUCCGUUGGAUACCGACAGAGUUAUAGGCAAAACUUGGUGCAAAAAUGAGCCUUAGUCAAUUUUCAUUUUUUUGAUUUUUUUGAUUUUUUAUUAUUUUUCACUCUUUUUUUUAUUUAAAGCAUUACUUGAGUGAAAAGAAACGCAUUGCAACCAAUUGGCAUUAAAAUAAAUCAAUUUAAUUUUUUUUGCAAAAUUUCCCAAAAAAAUGGCAAGGGGUACCCCUUAUGAAAUUUUCGAGUGUAAAUUUUUUUUUAAAUUUUUUUCCGAUUUUUUAUUCUUUUUUGUGUUUAAAGCAUUAUUUGAGUGAAAAGAAACUUAUUGCAACUAAUUCGCAUAAAAAUAUAUCAAUUUUUUAAAUUUUGCUAAAUUGCUCAAAAAAUGGUAUGGAACUUGGUUCCUCGAAUAACUUCUGGCACAGACAUCUGAGGGCAUGGCCGUCCAAGAAGAAAAUGUAGCCAUUGGUGCCAUCUAUCGGUCACAAGUUAAAGAUUGGCGAUCCGUUGGAUACCGACAGAGUUAUAGGCAAAACUUGGUGCAAAAAUGAGCCUUAGUCAAUUUUCAUUUUUUUGAUUUUUUUGAUUUUUUUAUUAUUUUUCACUCUUUUUUUAUUUAAAGCAUUACUUGAGUGAAAAGAAACACAUUGCAACCAAUUGGCAUUAAAAUGAAUCAAUUUAUUUUUUUUUGCAAAAUUUCCCAAAAAAAAUGGCAAGGGGUACCCCUUAUGAAAUUUUCGAGUGUAAAUUUUUUUUUAAAUUUUUUUCCGAUUUUUUAUUCUUUUUUGUGUUUAAAGCAUUACUUGAGUGAAAAGAAACUUAUUGCAACUAAUUCGCAUUAAAAUAUAUCAAUUUUUUAAAUUUUGCUAAAUUGCUCAAAAAAUGGUAUGGAACUUGAUUCCUCGAAUAACUUCUGGCACAGACAUCUGAGGGCAUGGCCGUCCAAGAAGAAAAUGUAGCCAUUGGUGCCAUCUAUCGGUCACAAGUUAAAGAUUGGCGAUCCGUUGGAUACCGACCGAGUUAUAGGCAAAACUUGGCGCAAAAAUGAGGAAAAUUUUCCAUUUUCUCAAACAGGGUAAGGAACUUGGUUCGUCGAAUAACUUCUGGCACAAACAUCUGAGGGCAUGGCCGUCCAAGAAGAAAAUGUAGCCAUUGAUGCCAUCUAUCGACCACCGGUUAAAGAUUGGCGAUCCGUUGGAUACCGACAGAGUUAUAGGAAAAACUUGGUGCAAAAAUGAGCCUUAGUCAAUUUUCAUUUUUUUGAUUUUUUUGAUUUUUUUAUUAUUUUUCACUCUUUUUUUAUUUAAAGCAUUACUUGAGUGAAAAGAAACACAUUGCAACCAAUUGGCAUUAAAAUAAAUCAAUUAAAUUUUGUUUGCAAAAUUUCCCAAAAAAAAUGGCAAGGGGUACCCCUUAUGAAAUUUUCGAGUGUAAAUUUUUUUUUAAAUUUUUUUCCGAUUUUUUAUUCUUUUUUGUGUUUAAAGCAUUACUUAAGUGAAAAGAAACUUAUUGCAACUAAUUCGCAUUAAAAUAUAUCAUUUUUUUAAAUUUUGCUAAAUUGCUCAAAAAAUGGUAUGGAACUUGGUUCCUCGAAUAACUUCUGGCACAGACAUCUGAGGGCAUGGCCGUCCAAGAAGAAAAUGUAGCCAUUGAUGCCAUCUAUCGGUCACAAGUUAAAGAUUGACGAUCCGUUGGAUACCGACAGAGUUAUAGGCAAAACUUGGUGCAAAAAUGAGCCUUAGUCAAUUUUCAUUUUUUUGAUUUUUUUGAUUUUUUUAUUAUUUUUCACUCUUUUUUUUAUUUAAAGCAUUACUUGAGUGAAAAGAAACACAUUGCAACCAAUUGGCAUUAAAAUAAAUCAAUUAAAUUUUUGUUGCAAAAUUUCCCAAAAAAAAUGGCAAGGGGUACCCCUUAUGAAAUUUUCGAGUGUAAAUUUUUUUUUAAAUUUUUUUCCGAUUUUUUAUUCUUUUUUGUGUUUAAAGCAUUAUUUGAGUGAAAAGAAACUUAUUGCAACUAAUUCGCAUUAAAAUAUAUCAUUUUUUUAAAUUUUGCUAAAUUGCUCAAAAAAUGGUAUGGAACUUGGUUCCUCGAAUAACUUCUGGCACAGAGAUCUGAGGGCAUGGCCGUCCAAGAAGAAAAUGUAGCCAUUGAUGCCAUCUAUCGGUCACAAGUUAAAGAUUGGCGAUCCGUUGGAUACCGACAGAGUUAUAGGCAAAACUUGGCGCAAAAAUGAGGAAAAUUUUACAUUUUCUCAAACAGGGUAUGGAACUUGGUUCGUCGAAUAACUUCUGGCACAAACAUCUGAGGGCAUGGCCGUCCAAGAAGAAAAUGUAGCCAUUGAUGCCAUCUAUCGACCACAGGUUAAAGAUUGGCGAUCCGUUGGAUACCGACAGAGUUAUAGGCAAAAGUUGGCGCAAAAAUGAGGAAAAUUUUACAUUUUCUCAAACAGGGUAUGGAACUUGGUUCCUCGAAUAACUUCUGGCACAGACAUCUGAGGGCAUGGCCGUCCAAGAAGAAAAUGUAGCCAUUGGUGCCAUCUAUCGACCACAGGUUAAAGAUUGACGAUCCGUUGGAUACCGACAGAGUUAUAGGCAAAACUUGGUGCAAAAAUGAGCCUUAGUCGAUUUUCAUUUUUUUGAUUUUUUUAUUAUUUUUCACUCUUUUUUUUAUUUAAAGCAUUACUUGAGUGAAAAGAAACGCAUUGCAACCAAUUGGCAUUAAAAUAAAUCAAUUUAAUUUUUUUUGCAAAAUUUCCCAAAAAAAUGGCAAGGGGUACCCCUUAUGAAAUUUUCGAGUGUAAAUUUUUUUUUAAAUUUUUUUCCGAUUUUUUAUUCUUUUUUGUGUUUAAAGCAUUAUUUGAGUGAAAAGAAACUUAUUGCAACUAAUUCGCAUUAAAAUAUAUCAUUUUUUUAAAUUUUGCUAAAUUGCUCAAAAAAUGGUAUGGAACUUGGUUCCUCGAAUAACUUCUGGCACAGACAUCUGAGGGCAUGGCCGUCCAAGAAGAAAAUGUAGCCAUUGGUGCCAUCUAUCGGUCACAAGUUAAAGAUUGGCGAUCCGUUGGAUACCGACCGAGUUAUAGGCAAAACUUGGCGGAAAAAUGAGGAAAAUUUUCCAUUUUCUCAAACAGGGUAUGGAACUUGGUUCGUCGAAUAACUUCUGGCACAAACAUCUGAGAGCAUGGCCGUCCAAGAAGAAAAAGUAGCCAUUGAUGCCAUCUAUCGACCACAAGUUAAAGAUUGGCGAUCCGUUGGAUACCGACAGAGUUAUAGGCAAAACUUGGCGCAAAAAUGAGGAAAAUUUUACAUUUUCUCAAACAGGGUAUGGAACUUGGUUCGUCGAAUAACUUCUGGCACAAACAUCUGAGGGCAUGGCCGUCCAAGAAGAAAAUGUAGCCAUUGAUGCCAUCUAUCGACCACAGGUUAAAGAUUGGCGAUCCGUUGGAUACCGACAGAGUUAUAGGCAAAACUUGGCGCAAAAAUGAGGAAAAUUUUACAUUUUCUCAAACAGGGUAUGGAACUUGGUUCGUCGAAUAACUUCUGGCACAAACAUCUGAGGGCAUGGCCGUCCAAGAAGAAAAUGUAGCUAUUGAUGCCAUCUAUCGACCACAGGUUAAAG